rnacentral:rRNA from 1 species
AACGAACGCUGGCGGCAUGCCUAACACAUGCAAGUCGAACGAGAUCUUCGGGUCUAGUGGCGCACGGGUGCGUAACGCGUGGGAAUCUGCCCCUUGGUUCGGAAUAACAGUUGGAAACGACUGCUAAUACCGGAUGAUGACGAAAGUCCAAAGAUUUAUCGCCAGAGGAUAAGCCCGCGUAGGAUUAGCUAGUUGGUGUGGUAAAGGCGCACCAAAGCGACGAUCGGUAGCUGGUCUGAGAGGAUGAUCAGCCACACUGGGACUGAGACACGGCCCAGGCUCCUACGGGAGGCAGCAGUGGGAAAUAUUGGACAAUGGGCGAAGGCCUAAUCCAGCACUGCCGCGGGAGGGAUGAAGGCCUUAGGGUUGUAAAGCUCUUUUACCCGUGAUGAUAAUGACAGUACCGGGAGAAUGAGCGCCGGCUAACUCCGUGCCAGCCGCCGCCGUAA